rnacentral:rRNA from 2 species
CACCCUAGGCAGGGGAUCACUCGGCUCGUGGAUCGAUGAAGACCGCAGCUAAAUGCGCGUCAGAAAGUGAACUACAGCUACUCGGGACGAUAGGGAGAAAUAACAAGAGAGUUUUUUGCAUUCUCUCUUCUGUGGAACGUAUGCUAUUUAAAACUAGGGUGUUA